GAUGAACGCUAGCGGCAGGCUUAAUACAUGCAAGUCGAACGGUAAGGUCUCUUCGGAGAUACACGAGUGGCGCACGGGUGCGUAACGCGUAUGCAACCUACCUUUAACUGGGAAAUAGCCCCGAGAAAUCGGGAUUAAUGUCCCAUACUAUUCUUUGAAUGCAUAUUCUGAGAAUGAAAGCUCCGGCGGUUAUUGAUGGGCAUGCGUGACAUUAGCUAGUUGGUGAGGUAACGGCUCACCAAGGCGACGAUGUCUAGGGGUCCUGAGAGGGUUAACCCCCACACGGGUACUGAGACACGGACCAGACUCCUACGGGAGGCAGCAGUAAGGAAUAUUGGGCAAUGGACGCAAGUCUGACCCAGCCAUGCCGCGUGAAGGAUGAAUGUCCUAUGGAUUGUAAACUUCUUUUAUGCAGGAAAAAUAUCCCGGUCGAGAACCGGGACUGAUGGUACUGUAUGAAUAAGCAUCGGCUAACUCCGUGCCAGCCGCCGCCGUAAUAC
rnacentral:rRNA from 1 species